UACGUAGGGAGUUAGCGUUGUCCGGAAUUACUGGGUGUAAAGGGCGCGUAGGCGGGAUUGCAAGUCAGGCGUGAAAUACCGGAGCUCAACUCCGGGGCUGCGUUUGAAACUGCAGUUCUUGAGUGCCGGAGAGGCAGGCGGUAUUCCUAGUGUAGCGGUGAAAUGCGUAGAUAUUAGGAGGAACACCAGUGGCGAAGGCGGCCUGCUGGACGGUAACUGACGCUGAGGCGCGAAAGCGUGGGGAGCAAACAGG
rnacentral:rRNA from 1 species